rnacentral:rRNA from 1 species
ACGCUAGCGACGUGCCUAAGGUAUGCAAGUCGAAUGCCGAUUUAUCGGCAUGGCAGACGGCUGAGUAACACAUGGGAAUCUACCUCAAACUCGAGAAUAGCCCAUCGAAAGGUGGUGUAAUACUCGAUAGUUCCGUUUACGGUAAAGCUCCGGCGGUUUGAGAUGAGCCCAUGUCCUAUCAGGUUGUUGGUGGGGUAAUUGCCUACCAAGCCUAUGACGGGUAGCUGGUUUGAGAGGAUGAUCAGCCAGACUGGGACUGCGAUACGGCCCAGACUCCUACGGGAGGCAGCAACUAGGAAUCAUGCGCAAUGGACGAAAGUCUGACGCUGCGACGUCGCGUGAGGGAUGAAGGUCUUAGGAUCGUAAACCUCUUUUAUCUGGGAACAAGUUCUGAGUGUACCAGAUGAAUAAGUGCCUGCCAACCACGUGCCAGAAGCAUCGGUAAUGCGUGGGGCACGAGCGUUAUCCGGAUUUACUGGGCGUAAAGAGAUGCGUAGGCGCCUUUUUAAGUCACUUGUAAAAUCUCCCCGCUCAACGGGGAAACUGCAAGUGAUACUGAAUUGGUUGAGUCAAGUAGAGGAGAGGGGAAUUCCUGGUGGAGCGGUUAAAUGCGUUGAUAUCAGGAGGAAUACCAAGUGCGAAGGCACCUCUCUGGACUUGUACUGACGCUAAGGCUCGAAAGUGUGGGGAGCAAAACGGAUUAGAUACCCGUGUAGUCCACACUGUAAACGAUCCCUGCUAGAUGUUUGC